rnacentral:lncRNA from 1 species
UCGUCGUCUUUCACACCGCACUAUAGCAGAGCUACCUUUGUACAACCCACACGCAUGCAGGUUUGUCCUCCUCCUUUCUGCUAUUCCCCCCUUUUGAUUAAUGAAACUGCAACUACAUGUCCCUCUAUCUAUUCCCCUGGCCUCACUCACGUUUCCUCCCUUUGUCUCAUGGAUGAAGUUGCCGGCUGCAGGGGUGUUGCGAGGAGUUAGAGGUCGUGCACCGGCCGGAGCAGCAAGAGCAAUGAUCUGGCGGCCUCUCUUCUCUGCCACUGCUCCCUUCUCUUCCUUCAGCUCUCGAGACGUCAACCUGCAGGUGUAGGUGCUUGUGUCUCAACCAUCUUUUUCCUGUAUCCUCAAUCACAUUUUUUAUUUCUGAUUCGUGUGUUACCAUAUUAUUGCUAGGCUAGAGUUUGUCUGUGGGUUGUUUAUGCCCGGCUUUAAUAUCGGCCCACACUAUUUAUAAGGAACUGCUGAUGUCCAGUUCAGAGGUAUGUUUUCUAGCUGAAGCAUUGUUUGAAUAUCUAUGGCCCAUGCUCCAAGUGAGAUUAAUUCUUUCAUUUAUUUUCUACUAAUGUGAGUGAUUUAGUUCUCACGUACUGAUAAAUGUGCAUGGCAUACUAUUUUUAGGCAAACCAUUGUUUAACAAUGGAUAUGCGGAGGGUUUUUUAUGCAUGUGCAUUUCCCCUGAAUCUAGACAGCUAUUCAACCUAUUGCGGACAUUUUUGGUGGAAUUCAAUGCUUCGUCAUGUAUUUUUGACCUCUAUAUUCCCUAUCAUGUGUAUUUAACAAGUGAAUGUUCAGUGAUUCUCGAUUUUGCCUUUUUAAUCUAUGAAUGCAAUCCUUAAUGUGAUGGAAAUGUAUUGUACAUUUUUUGUCGAGCAAAUAUUGAUUCAUGCCAUGCAUGUUAUCGGUGGGUUUAAAAAAAGUUUUCCUGAUUGUAGUGUGAUUGCUUUAUCAAAGUUGGUUUAGUUACCCAACCUUCUAUUUUCAUUGAUUUUGUAUGAUUCUUGAAAACGGAGUGUGGGUUGUGUUUAUCAAUAAUAUACUACAGAUGUCAGUUCUGUUGCCAAAUGAUCUAAACUUGAUUUACCCACUUAUAGAACAGAAAAGAGUAUGGUAUUUACCUUCCGUGGAUUUACUUGAAUGACUGUACAAGUAUCUCGGCUUGGUUUAUUUCCCAU